rnacentral:rRNA from 1 species
AGAUGAUCAGGUUGAUAGGUCUGAGGUGGAAGUGUGGCGACACAUGGAGCUGACAGAUACUAAUCGAUCGAGGACUUAACCAC